CCUACGGGAGGCAGCAGUAGGGAAUAUUGGUCAAUGGACGAAAGUCUGAACCAGCCAUGCCGCGUGAAGGAUGAAGGUCCUCUGGAUUGUAAACUUCUUUUAUCUGGGACGAAAAAAGGGCUUUCUAGCUCACUUGACGGUACCAGAGGAAUAAGCACCGGCUAACUCCGUGCCAGCAGCCGCGGUAAUACGGAGGGUGCAAGCGUUAUCCGGAUUUACUGGGUUUAAAGGGAGCGUAGGUGGGCAGGUAAGUCAGUGGUGAAAUCUCUGGGCUUAACCCGGAAACUGCCAUUGAUACUAUCUGUCUUGAAUAUCCUGGAGGUAAGCGGAAUAUGUCAUGUAGCGGUGAAAUGCUUAGAUAUGACAUAGAACACCCAUUGCGAAGGCAGCUUACUACGGGAUUAUUGACACUGAGGCUCGAAAGCGUGGGGAUCAAACAGGAUUAGAUACCCUGGUAGUCCACGCCCUAAACGAUGGAUACUCGACAUCAGCGAUACACUGUUGGUGUCUGNGCGAAGCAUUAAGUACUACCCACCGUAGGGAACGUACGACCGACCGAAGGUUAGAACGUACGAAAGGUAAGUUAGGACGG
rnacentral:rRNA from 1 species